rnacentral:rRNA from 1 species
GAAACACGCAUCGAGCUGGAUCGAUGUUCAAGCAACAAGUGCGGUUAAGAGUCAAAUGCUUCUAACCAGCAACACGAGUUGUGAUGAGUAGCGAAGUAAUAGUAGCGAAGGUGAUGUAAUCACACUGCCAAGAAAAGCUUCUAGCCAGAGAGGACACACCCGUACCGCAAACCGACACAGGUAGUCGAGUGGAGAACACUAAGGUGAGCGAGAGAACUCUCGUUAAGGAACUCGGCAAAAUGACCCCGUAACUUCGGAAGAAGGGGUGCUGGCCACGAGAGUGGUUAGCCGCAGUGAAUAGGCCCAAACAACUGUUUAUCAAAAACACAGGUCUCUGCAAAAUCGUAAGAUGACGUAUAGAGGCUGACACCUGCCCGGUGCUGGAAGGUUAAGAGGAGAGCUUAGCGAAAGCGAAGGUUCGAAUUGAAGCCCCAGUAAACGGCGGCCGUAACUAUAACGGUCCUAAGGUAGCGAAAUUCCUUGUCGGGUAAGUUCCGACCUGCACGAAAGGUGUAAUGAUUUGGGCACUGUCUCAACGAGAGACUCGGUGAAAUUAUAAUACCCGUGAAGAUGCGGGUUACCCGCGACAGGACGGAAAGACCCCAUGGAGCUUCACUGUAGCUUGAUAUUGAGUAUCUUUUAAACAUGUACAGGAUAGGUAGGAGCCAAGGAAGGCAGGACGCUAGUUUUGCUGGAGGCAAUGUUGGGAUACUACCCUUGUUUGAAGGAUGCUCUAACCUCGACCUGUAAGCCAGGUCAGGGACAGUGUCAGGUGGGCAGUUUGACUGGGGCGGUCGCCUCCUAAAG